AGUUUUUAUUGCACAUAUACAAAUGUAUGUAAUUGCUUGAUUAUUAAGGCACACGGGAAUGGGGAUGGGGUUAAAUGUGGGGUAAUUUAGCAAGAGCUGGCGCUUUUGUGGUGUUUGGGAAUUUUCCAACAAUUUAUAAUUGCUUUUCGCUGUUGUUUUGGCGCACGAUUUGAUGUGUCAACGAGAUUGCGAUAUAUGGCCCAUUAUCUAGAUUCUAGAUUCUACAGGCACACGUCAAGACUUACAAGUGGGUAUAUGUUUGUAUGUAUUAACAUACGUGUCCACACUCUAUAAUUAUCUAAAUGUAAGCACGCUAGGUCUAGAUAAUUGCGCCUAAUAUUUGCAGUGCCUCAAUCAGGGGUUUCCAACUACUGAUUAGGUGUCAAGCGCAGACAAACCUGUUGCCAAUGGGCGGCCAUUUUGUUUUUGCCCAUACAAGGCAUUGUUGUGAAAUUCAAUUCGAGAAUCUUUCGCUUUGGACCCCCAAUUGGCCCCAAAGCGGGAACUGUCCGUAAAGCUUAUCGCUGCCUAUCACGCUUUUAUUGGGUGUAUCAAAUAAGGAAGUGUGUUUUAUGCAGGGACAAUAUUGUUUUAAUCUAAACUAGUUAUUUCUAAAAGGAAGUUGCGUCGACGACACUUUUAGAGCUUGUUUCGAGUUUCCCUAACAAUUUCAUUGUUUCUCUCAAACGGUCAAUUAAAAGUGAGUAUACAAAGUCCUUUUGUCUUUUAGUUGUAAGCCUCAUAUUUGCUUGAUUGAAACGCUACCACUAUUAGUUUGUAAGCUUGUUUAAUGAAAAAAAUGUGUAUAUAUUGAAAAAAGGAGUAAUUCCAAAAACAAAAAAAGGAUUAAUUCCAUAAAAAAGGCGUAAUGCCAUAAAAAAGGA